rnacentral:rRNA from 1 species
CCUACGGGAGGCAGCAGUGGGGAAUAUUGGGCAAUGGGCGCAAGCCUGACCCAGCAACGCCGCGUGAAGGAAGAAGGCCCUCGGGUUGUAAACUUCUUUUAUUCGGGACGAAACAAAUGACGGUACCGAAUGAAUAAGCCACGGCUAACUACGUGCCAGCAGCCGCGGUAAUACGUAGGUGGCAAGCGUUAUCCGGAUUUACUGGGUGUAAAGGGAGCGUAGGCGGGACUGCAAGUUGGGUGUCAAAUCUACCGGCUCAACCGGUAGCCGCACUCAAAACUGCAGUUCUUGAGUGAAGUAGAGGCAGGCGGAAUUCCUAGUGUAGCGGUGAAAUGCGUAGAUAUUAGGAGGAACACCAGUGGCGAAGGCGGCCUGCUGGGCUUUUACUGACGCUGAGGCUCGAAAGUGUGGGGAGCAAACAGGAUUAGAUACCCUGGUAGUC